GCUUUAAGGAAUCAGAAAAGUAUUGAUUUUUAUUAAAAAUAAAAAAAAGCAUUAGGGGCAUUGCAGCCUGGUGUGUGGUGAUGAGUGUGUGAGCAGAGCAUGAACGGGAGUGUGCAACACUAGAGUGUGCGCCCACCCCAGUGCACCUUCCCCUACUACACCUUAAUGUUAUUUGAUAAGGUAGAACACCCAUCCAUAGAUAAGCCAGGGUUGAUCAUAAAUGAUAAAAACCUUUCUGCUGUGAAGCCCAAUUGCUUGGGCCUUGUGCAGUGAGGCCUUCCUGGAGUCAGCGGCGUAGUUCAGUCCCAGCUUAGAGUUGGUUCUGAGGGGUCCAGUGCUCCAAUGUGAUGAAUUGAUCAGAUAAACGGGACUUAGAGUUUCACCUGCCGGGUUACUGGUUUAUCAAAGACGAUUCUGAUCUGA